rnacentral:rRNA from 1 species
CAGGAUGAACGCUAGCGGCAGGCUUAACACAUGCAAGUCGAGGGGCAGCGCGGGGCGGCAACGUCCUGGCGGCGACCGGCGGAAGGGUGCGUAACGCGUGAGCGACAUGCCCGUUGCCCGGGGACAACCGGUGGAAACGCCGACUAAUCCCCGGUGGGACGGAGGCCCUCAUGGGUCUCUGUUGAAAGUUACGGCGGCGACGGAUUGGCUCGCGUCCGAUUAGCUUGUUGGCGGGGUAACGGCCCACCAAGGCUACGAUCGGUAGGGGUUCUGAGAGGAAGGUCCCCCACAAUGGAACUGAGACACGGUCCAUACUCCUACGGGAGGCAGCAGUGAGGAAUAUUGGUCAAUGGGCGGAAGCCUGAACCAGCCAUGCCGCGUGCGGGAAGGAGGCCCUAUGGGCUGUGAACCGCUUUUGCCUGGGGGCAAUAAGGGCGUCGUGCACGUCCGAUGAGAGUACCAGGCGAAUAAGCAUCGGCUAACUCCGUGCCAGCAGCCGCGGUAAUACGGGGGAUGCGAGCGUUAUCCGGAUUCAUUGGGUUUAAAGGGUGCGUAGGCUGUGCGUCAAGUCAGGGGUGAAAUUCCGGGGCUCAACUCCGGGGCUGCCCUUGAUACUGUCGCGCUGGAGUGCGGAUGCCGCCGGAGGAAUGAGUGGUGUAGCGGUGAAAUGCUUAGAUAUCACUCAGAACACCGAUUGCGAAGGCAUCUGGCGAAUCCGUAACUGACGCUGAAGCACGAAAGCGUGGGGAUAGAACAGGAUUAGAUACCCUGGUAUUCCACGCCGUAAACGAUGAUGGCUAACCGCCGGCGACACACUGUCGGUGGCCAAGCGAAAGCGAUAAGCCAUCCACCUGGGGAGUACGUCGGCAACGAUGCAACUCAA